UACGGAGGGUGCAAGCGUUGUUCGGAAUUAUUGGGCGUAAAGGGCGCGUAGGCGGCAGUGUAAGUCAGAUGUGAAAUACUCUGGCACAACCAGAGAACAGCAUCUGAAACUGCACAGCUAGAGUACAGAAGAGGGAAACGGAAUUCCCGGUGUAGAGGUGAAAUUCGUAGAUAUCGGGAGGAACACCAGUGGCGAAGGCGGUUUCCUGGUCUGAUACUGACGCUGAGGCGCGAAAGCGUGGGGAGCAAACAGGAUUAGAUACCCUGGUAGUCCACGCUGUAAACGGUGAACACUAGGUGUGGGAGGUGUAAUACCUUCUGUGCCGUAGCUAACGCGUUAAGUGUUCCGCCUGGGAAGUACGGCCGCAAGGUUGAA
rnacentral:rRNA from 1 species